UAUGUCUGUGGUGUGCUGUGCUUGUGCAUGGGCAUGUGUAACCAUGGCUAUUUUGGUCCAGGCUGGCCUCAAAGGCAACAGGCCUGCCUCUGCCUCCUGAGUGCUGGAAUUAAAAGUGUGUGUCACCAUCACCCAGCUAAUUUUUAUUUUAAACUUAGGUGUGGUGGUGCUUUUUCUCCCAGUAUUGUGAAGUCAGAGGCCAACAGAUCUCUGUGAGCUUCAAGCCCAGACUGAUUUACACGAUGAAUUCUAGGUCACUCAGGGCCAGUGAGACUUUGCCCAAUAUGUGUGUGUGUGUGUGUGUGUUUGUGUGUGUGUGUGUGUGUAUUCAUUCUUUGAGAACUUAUUACAUGUAUCUAAAGCAUCUUCAAUGCACUUUACUUCACUGUAUUCCCCCUUCCAACUUCAGAUUCUCUUCAUUUUCUUUCCUUGAAUCCAAUUAGAGCUACAAGUAUGUUCCUGGGCAUGGGGACAGUCAAAGAGAGACCACAUCACUGAAAAAAGCUGAGCCCAUCCCAUCAGCCAACAAAGUCUAGUAGCUCUCAGGGUCAGGGCCCUUUACCACCUAAGCUGAAAUAUUGAUAGACUUCAUCAUGCAUACGUUUUGUGUAGUGACAAGUGCUAUGAUUUUAUGAGCGAAUGGUUGUCGUGUUCAGAAGACACUAUUUCACAGAACUUGUCGCUCUGCUCUGGUGCUUCCAGUCUGUCUGCCUCCUCUUCAAUGAUGCUCCUUGAGAUUUUGGGGGAAGAGGUUCAUAUGGAAGUCCUUUUGGAGGCUGGGCUUCCCACUGUUACUUCAUCUUUGCCCUUUAAUUAGUAGAGAGUCUCUGGGUUAGCUUAUAUCUCUGUAAUAAAAAGCAUUUCCAGUGGAGGUGAACACUGCAUUAAUCUAUGGUUAAAUGUUUUAAAGACAAUAUGAUGCUAUGUCCAUUUAGCAGAAUAACCACAUUUGAUUCUUCUCUAGCGCAUAUGAUCUUUCUAGCCAUGAGUUACUGGCCAAGUUUACAGUACCGGAUAUGAAUUUCUUCUUUUGGAGCAGUCUUUAAAUUGAAUCAGGAACCUGUCAGUUAUCUUCAUCACAUUCAGGCCACUAUGGCACCAAUAGGCAUUAGAUAUGAAAACAUAAAAAUUGAGCAUUAAAAGUCACCAUGAAGGACAUAUCCAUUGGAUGGCAUUUCCAUUUUGUUUUGUGGAGACAUGACCCUGAAGAAAGGUUUGUCAUGUGUUAAGGCUAUCACCACAUGACAAAUUCUGGAUGUGGCUUCUCUGUAUAGGAGUCUUUAGUCCCUGGGAAAGGCCUAGUGCACGAAUCCUGAGGAAAUGAAGUUUCUGUGGGUUUUGUGGUUACUGUUUUUGUCAUGUCUAUAUUCAUGUGUGUUAUUUAAGACAGUGUCUCAUUGUGUAACUCAGCUGUCUUAGAACGUACAACCCUGCUACCUCAGCCUUCUUAGUGUUAGAAUUACAGGUUUAAAGCACUACACCAAGCUUGAGAAAUAAGGUGGUGAAAAUAGGGUCACUGGUUCUAGAGACUUCAAAAGUCACCAUGUUUUGUACCAACAUCUUUCUGAUGAAAAUAGCUACAGAUUUCACAUUCUUUCUCCCCCCUUUUUUUUCCCAAAGAGGAAGCAAGAUAUUCCCUUUUGGGGAAACUUUAUCACCAAGGUUAACCUAACAAGUACAUAUUUUUCCCUUAUGAAAUUAAUUUGACUUUCUUGGCAUUAUUUUUGAGGUGUACAACAUCUUGGCAACUGCUUUGGUUUGAAACUACGUGAUUUUAGAAAAGCACGUUUCAGAAUGUUUAAUUCAGCGAUACAAAAGCACUAAUGAAAUAUGCAUGUAUGAAUUUUAUAUCAUAUUAGUUCCCUCUUUCUUAAAAUCUGAAUAAAAGCCAAACAUCUGGAUUAUGUUUGAAAAGCCUGAAUUUCCAGUUUCCAGAGAGAUCCGAUCUAUUUUGACAUUGCGCACUUAGCCUUAACAUUUACAGCGUGCUAUUAACAUUACUUGCAAUUGUAGAAAAAAAAAUCCUGUGAUUUAAACAAACUUGGUGCCUCCUAAUGCUAAAAAUAUAUCUAUAUUUCAACUGGCUGCUGCUGCACAGCCAUACGCAUCCACAGUUUAGGCUUCAUCAGCAUUUCCAUGAUAAAUACUUAUACUGAGCAGGCCUGUAAUUCUGCUAUAAAGAUAUGGGGUAAGCUUUGACAUAUGAAUUCUCCUGUUGUUGUAUAUGAAGACAACAAACAGCAGUUCAUCUGUCACUUAGCUUGAGAAACUAUUCAUUGACUUAGUGCUUUCUAACAGCCCCAACUAUUGAAAAUUCUUCAUCAUUACCCAAAGAAGACAUGAUAGCCAUCAUUCUUUGGGGGCUCCUUUCUCCACCAGUAACCAAGAGUCAGCCAGCUUCUGUUGGCUAUUUUGAGGAUAUUUUGACACUCAAGCAAACAUUGAAGAAGACUGGACAGAACAAGAGGAGGCUGGGUACCCAUGAUGAUCAUUACAGUCUGUAGUCCACUGGUUCUCUGCAGAGGCCUUGCACACUGCUUCUGAGCAUCUGCAGCCAUCUGCUCACUUCGCACCGAGGAAAACCUAAUGGAAGCGCACCCAUCUAAACACCGACUCACCUCCUUGCUGUAGGGAUUUAAGUCAUUAGAUUCUGGGUGUUUGUUGCUAGAAAUUUAAUCAUGUUUAAAAUCUGGCUGGCAGUGUAGUGAAGAGCUGCCCAUUCUCGAUACAAAACUGCAUUGAGAAAGUGAAAGGGCCGAAUUUCUACACAAGUUGACAAUUAAGAUUUCCAUAGAUGCAGAAUUAGCCAGCUCCUGUAGGGGAACUGGAGCCAAAGCCUUUCUGAGCACUUCAAACAGACAAAAUUAUAAUAGAGUCAAAUCAAGACUAAAUACAUCAGCUGAAACUGGAGUUUAGCUUAUCAAACCCAGAUCCAAAGCAUAGAGUGGAGAGCAUGCUGGAUAUUUCUUCCUUAAAUUCCUCUAUUUUUUUUUUUUUUAUUGGCACUGGAGAAAAAAAUAACACAUUAAAACCUCCUGACUGAAUUACUGUCCUAAACCAAUAGAUCCACUGGGCUUGUUUAGCUAAAAGCCACAACAGACUUUGUAAUGCAAUGAUGUAAUCUUGGCUUUGUGUCGUUUAUAUUCAACCUAAAUUUUUUUUUCCUGAAUAGACAGGCUGACAACAAUAUUGUUCAGUGUGGGUUUUUAUUUGGAUUCUUUCCAAAUGGCUCACAUGCCUUCACAGUAACACAUCAGGCUGCUUACGGGUUUCCCCCCCUUUGCCUGAAUUCUAAACUUUCCCCCUCUUACUAGCUUUCUAUUUUUCUUUUAAUGUCUCAGUUAUGUUUGUAAAACUAACCAGCACCACCACAAAAUUAGGAUGUAUCUUGCAGAGAGCAUUCAUUUUACUUUUUGCAUAUUUUUCCGGAGGUCAUGUCAAGGUUAGUUUGAAUUCCAUCCUACAUUAAGACUUCUUUCACAGCUAUUUAGCUCGGCAGCCUACUCCCCGCUGGGGUCUGCCCCUUGGGCACGUCAAAGCUUCAGACCUGACAAAUCACACACAGAUGAAGCUGUACAGUUUUUUAAACAGUUUGAUCAGUAACUUUUUUUUUUUUCCUUUUUCACUAUCCUUCAUAGUAAGAUUCUUUUUCCCUUUGAAUUACCGUUUCAGGAAUUGAGGGUUUCUACUUGAGACAGUUUGCUUUACAUGAGCGUUGUCAGCCAGCAGUGGUUUUUAUUACACUGUGUCGAAAGUCUUCUGCUCACAAGACGGCAGACAUAGAGACACACUCUUAACUGGCAAGAUUGGAAUUGUGUUCUUAAAACCUACUUGGAGUGGGAAGGUUAGUGUUGGGAUAUCACAGAUUUCCUUGGGAUCAGAAAAUAAAAAAUAUACCCAGUUUUUAUCCUGUUAUGAGUUGAGCCUAAAAAUGCCUCUCAAAUGCUUCCCAGGAUGCUCUUAUCAGUAUUUUAGCAAAUUAUGUAACUGACCGCCUGCCUCCCCACCUCCCUUUCCUGCUUAAUUGAUGAACUUAAGGUGCUUGCCUGUAACGAGUGUAUCAGCCAACGGUCUCCUUUAUCACUGAAGGAGAUCACAAAUUUUGAAAAUCAGCAUACUGCCCAUGUUUUUAUGAGUUGAAAAAUAUUAACUGCCACAAAACUGCCACAUCAACUGAAGAGAUGGUGUGAUUGGGGCUGCGGUUAUCUUGGCAGUGCCGUGAUAGAGCAGAGUUGCUGUUUUUAAAAAAAUAAGUCAUAUCCACAUUUCAUUACAUUUUCACACAGGACAGACAAAAACCACCGGAAGGUUUUUAGCUUUGGGCUAAGCUGAACACUUACAGGGAAGAGGGGGAAAUAAUAUUUAAAUGACUCUCAGCAGGAAAGUACACAAUGAAGGUCCCAUAAAAGGUUGCCUGGUUGAAACUAAUUAAAGACAGGUCUAAAUAAGAAAAGAGAAAAAGAGAUCAAAGGAAUUACAUUAGGUGUCACUAUGCUAUUUGGGGGGCAUUUGAUGUAAUUUAAAAAAUUUUGGUUUAGGAAAACACUAAAUUCUGAAAAUGUCCACUCCUGUCAUCAUGCCGUUAUUUUUGCAACAGCUACACGUCAGCAGGCAAACAUCUUGCAGAAAUCACUUCAGCACUACUGGCGCAUUCGCACAUUAUGGUGAAAAGAGGGGCUUGUGCUUUUCACGCGGUGCGUCUCAGCCUUCAAUUAAUGUGAAAGCACUACAAUGCCCAUGCAACUUCUCUUGCCUAGUGGUGCACCGUUUAUCAUUGCAGUUUUACAUUGACCUUGACACCCACUUCAUUAGAAUAAAGAUUGUCUACCAUUUAGGUUACAUUGUUCCUCUGCACAGAGACCCCAUGCAAAUUUCUGUUCAGAGAGAAGAGCUGUGAGGCUGUCAGAGGUCAUCUGCAUUAAAUGAUUGCAGCUAUUUUCCAACCGCUUCUUUUCAUUCUACUCAAUUCAGGCUAGGAGGAUCAAUCAAGUUUUCUGCCUGAAACAGUAGGACUGCAGGGAAUAUAACUGUUUUUGGUAGGAGUGGAUAUGCCCUAAACAGUGUUAAAUAUUUAAUAUAAACUCAUUAAAGGCCAUGCAAAGGCUUGAGAAAGAUGCCACAUUUAUAGAAAUAUCAAGGGGGACAGGGCACCCUUUUGAAAAAAUAAACAACAGUAAUUAUCAAUUUUAUAAUUCCAGAAGAUGUAAUCACAAUAUUUCUUAGAAUUAGUGACUCUUUUCUGCUGUUUUUUUUCCCCCACCCUUGAUUUGGGUUAGGAAAAGGGGAACUGGGAGACUUCAUAUUCUUAUAUAGUAUUUUGCAAGAAGUUGACAGGAAAAGUUUUCAGUUUGUUGGUGCUUCUAUUUUAACUCAGUAACAAUAAAUCCUAACCUGGCUGCAUUUGUUUUAAAACACAUAGAUAUUCUUUAUGUAAAAGAAAAAAAAAUGAUUGGGGAAAUAAGUCGCCUCGUCUCCUCCUUAAGUUUCCUGAGUGAUAUAAUUGGAAUUAAAUUAUUAAUGGGAGAUACUUUUAAAAAGAUUGUUUUAUGAUCUCCUAUUAGGGAAUUUGCAAUUCAUUUUAAUAUUUGUAGUUUGAUUUAUAUUAAAGAUAAUGCAAUCUAUGUUCAAUUAACAAUACAUGGCCAAUGUAAUGUGAUUUCCAGAUCAUGCAAAUGGAAUAAGCUAGAAGUGUGUUGGGGGGGGGGGGACUCCAUUCUUAACCUCAGAUGUAAUUUGCUGUGCGAGUUCUGGCAAUUUUAAAUGACAUUGCACUUUUUAAUUUUUCCAAAGGCUCAGCAGCAAAUUUAUCCCAAUCAAGAAAGCCUAUUAUUAAUUUACAAGGACAAUUGUAGGAGUCCUUAUAAUUUCUUUGUGCAAUUAUUCACCAUAAAUUCUAAUGGUAAAAUACAAAUAGUUUGCAAGAAAUAACCACCAUUACUUGUCUUGCGCUUGAGCCUUCUUCUUGAAUCUUGAACAUCCUUUCUAAGUGUUAGUGAUACUGACUCCUUGUAAAGCAUCCCAGGCUUUUGUGGGAAGCUGGACAUUGGCUGUCUUAAAGAGGGCAGCACCAGAGCCGCCGCAGAGGCAGUCCUGGCCUCUACCAGUCCAGCUGAGCUGUGGACCUGGACUUUCCUAUAAAAAGAUUCUUUGUUCACCACUGAAUAGCAUUAGGCAUGGGCUAGCUGAGGGGCCACCAUGAAGCCUCAAAAGAGGAGGGCAAACACUAGCUAGAGAAUACAGUGUGAGAGUCACAGACAUAGCCUUGCAUUUGUGAGCAAAAUACAUAUUUUUACAUAUUAUUUUGCGGUAGUUUGGUUAGUAUGUGUUCCCUGAAUAUACUUUCUUAUUGAUACACUAAGAUACAUUGUGUCUUCACAGUGUGUUUUCUUUUCCUGGGGGAUUUGGGGUGGCAGUGGGGGUGGGGGGGGAAUAAUCACCACAAAUAUACAGGUGUUUGAGAUACUAAUUUGCACAGGCAAAGAUUCAAAUGUGUCAUUAUUAUAACUAGAUCAUUUGCCUUGUCUUAACUCUUCUAAAUAUAAAGUCACCUGAUGGCCGGUUUAAAACAACAUCCUCAGGAUAGAAAUACUCAAACGCUCAUGACUCAGAAUUGGACAGCCGUUAUUCUUUAAUCAGGAAAAUUGUUUGCUUUAAUUCGUGUGUUCCUCAUAGCCGAAGCUUCGCUCUCUCCGUUUAGUAAUGUCUGCUCUCUUUUCAGCAUGACCACCAGAAGCACCAUACAAAAGUCUUACAAUGAACGUCUUAAUCUCUCUGUGUGCUUUUAGAGCAUUAUUUUGAAUUCCAUCAUGCUGCCUUUUUUUCUCCCCUCUUCUGAUGUUUUAUUACAACAGCAGAAUUCCCAGGGAGCUUUGGGGGCAAGGUUCACAUAAUAUAGCCCUGAAGUUUUGCUAGGUGGGAGCUAUCCCCCAGGCCUGGCCAUCUUUUGGCAAUCUUACUAUUUCAAGAAAGAAAAAAAAAAAGAUUCUCGGGGUAGAGUCUUUCACAGCGUUAGCUGGAUAGGGUUUAUGUUUUACUUUUUUUUUUAUUUACUAGAGAGUGAAUAUCUACAACCCUUUCAUGAUGCUUUCUUUCGCUGACCUCACCGUGACAAGGCAUCUUGUUCUUUAACAUUGAGGGAGGCAGAAAAAUGCUUGAGUUUCUCAAUGUGUGCCUUCUAUACCAGUUUCAAAAUGGCUUAUUCUUCUGGUUUCCAUGGUGACAAUUAACACUGUUUCAAGGCAUUGUUCCACUCUCCAUUUGGGCAGAAUUUUCGGUGUGAUUUUUAACAAAAAGAGAGAGAGAGAGAGAGAGAGAGAGAGAGAGAGAGAGAGAGGAAGAAGAAAAAGGGGGAAGGUUUUAAGAGAAGGAGGAAUGUCUGGCAAAAGUGUCAAAAAAGUUAUCUCAAUCAAGCCUGUAUUUGCUACUAAAGUCAUUUAUUUUUAUAAAUCCAUGUUUUAUUUUUACUGGCUUUGAUAGUUCAGUUUUAGUAUUUGUGCGUUUAAAAUGUAAAUUAUAAGUAAGAAUUCCAAUUUUAAUUCUUAGUUGAAACAAUGAAUUACUAUUAACUCUGUAUUUCCUUUAACUUUUCUUUAUACCCAAAGAAAUAGCUUUUAGGACACUAGUAGCCUGAAUCUUUAAUUUAGAUCAUUCACAAAUCUAUUAAGAGGAUUCAUUAGACCAAAUUGAAUUGGCCAAGCAAAUACACUUAAUAAUGUAAAUAUGCUCUUUGAAUAGAGUAUAUUUUAUUUUUGACCAGACAGCACGGCCCACAGCAGGAGCUGUGGAAAGUUAAAUAUGGGAUGUUUAUUUACCUUAGCACUCAAGAAAGCCAGCUGACUUUAACUUGGCUAAUCUCAUCUUUGGCUAUUGAAAACUCGUCUGUAUCAUAGCCUUCCCACACCACGGAACAUGACGGGGCAGCUUCUGCUCACUUACUGCUGUGGGUGAAAUGAAGAUGAAGAUGGAAUGAUCUUCUCACCACGGGAUGGAGAAGCCCCGUGGUAGGGGGAUGGAGAGCAGAUAAAGCUGGUGGCUGGUUCUAUCCAUCUAAUGCUUCCGAAGAGAUGCUAGAGACAGAAGAGCACACGUACAGUAGAGUCAACAAAAAUGAAGCCCACCUAGCAUUUACAUACACAGCCGUCAGGCCCUAAACCUUAUUGGAUUCAACCUCAUGAUGUCUCAAAACUCAAAUACUUUCACCUUAAAUUACACGCCAUGCUAGUACUCUCCACUCACAUAUCAACAUAGCUAACAAUUAAUUAGGUUCUCUAGCUUUUAUCGUUUGAAGGCAUUGCCUAUCAAUCACCUCUUUCCUUGGGCUGUUGAUGCAGUAAGCAUAUCCAGUGAUAACGAGGGCAUACAUAAUAACAAGGACUUUUCAGUCUAAUAACCGUCUUAGUAGCUAUUGCCAUAACUAUUCAUACCACAUUCCAUAGGGAAAAAAUUUCCCAAUGUCUAAAAUCAAAUUAAUUGCUUUUUAUAUUUUCAUGAUUCCAAGGCUCGAAUUUUUAGGAAACGAUCUAAACUGUCCACCUGUCUUACAAACUUGCAACGGAGGAGAUGUUUAAAGUUGGGAAAGAGAAAAGACGAGUUUGCCACAAAAAAGUCCAAUAACCAGUAAAAGCCACUCCGAGAAGGCACAACUGAAGGAUUCUCUGUGUUGAUUGAUACAUAUGACAUAGGGGAAAGAUUUGAAUAACAGUCCUCUGCCUGGCUGAAAUACGCCCCCCCCCCAACAUCAUGUCAGUCUUACCUAAUUAGUUAUGUAAAUCUUACAUAGGAAUCUGAUUACAUAAAGCAGAUUGCCUCUCCUCCAGUCAUCACACUGACAAAUCACACACUAUCUGAGUUUCUAGAAUACUUGUUGAGUAUUGAGUUGAAAAAUCUUAAGUGGACAGUGUGUUUUCUAUACUGGAGAACCAUGGUCCUGGUAAUUGUCUGUAGUUAGAAAUGCAAUCAGAAUUUCCAGGUUUUCACAGUCCAAAUUCUGAAAGUGCUCUAAAACAACCCUUGAUUUUCUUCAGUAUGCAUAUUCAUGUAAUUUUGGAUACUUCGACACCCUGAUCAACAUGCAUUAAUAAUAUAAAAUGCUUUAAAUCACCUCAUUUAAAACAUUUUGUUCUGUGAUCCACAAGUGCCUAACAUUUGGGGAAGUUUACAUAAUACAAAUGAUGUGCAUGUUUAGUGUAAAUGGAAGAUUAAAAUAUGAAACAGAAAGUAUGCAAACACAUGCACACAAGCGCUGAAGGUCUAUUAACUGAAGCAGAGCCGCACACCUUUCUUUCUUUCAAGCUAAUUCCAAUUCUAGCUUUGUUUAGAAUUUUAUAAAAAGUGUUUUUGAGGGGACUUAAAUCAUCCAACUGUUUGGGGAUAUUAUGAACCUAUAGAUCUGCAACGCUCUUCCCCCACAAGAGCUUUCCUUGUGAAAUCUGAUAGAGUUUACCUUAGGGCAGAAGGCAAAGUAGAAAUGGUGCUGUAGAACUCAGAACUUGACUUCAUUGUUUCAAAGAAAUAUAUUUUGGCAAUAUGUUACAUUUAAUAUUUUACCCACAUCCUAAAUUUUAUACUCAGGGAUAUUUUGAUGCACACCUCCCCAUAAGCAUGAUAGUCAUUUACAGUUGUUUAUAAGAUUCUCUUACUGUGAACUUUCCCAAAUACAGGUAUGUGAAGAAUACCACCACAACAUGGUUUUUACUGAGAGGCUAUUACAUUGUCUCCAAGAAAUGUCUUUUAAGAGACUCACUUGCCAUUUGUUAGAAUAUAGUGUGCAUUAGUUGGGGCAGGAGGGUUCAGUAGUUGGCUGAGAAGUUCAGGGUAGUUUAUAGUAAUCAAUAAGCAAUUGUAGGUCUGUAUCUAUCCCAGGGAACUGGUGAGCAUCCUUCCUCUUUAUGGGUGUUCUUUCUCUUUAGCUUUCAAAGAGUUUUUAAGUAAAAGAAAAAUAAAAACAAAAUAGUGACUUAGGCUUUAAUUAAUAGGGAACUUAAAAGAAAUAAGUCAUAUAAUACUUAUGGAUAAUGUUUUUCUUUCCAAGAUAACUUUGCCAGUUUGUUUGUAAAUAAAGUCCAAAUACAUUAGAAAUUAAUCAGCAUUGUUUUAACUUUUAUAACUCACAGUCCAAUGUAUAGGUUGACUUUGAUAAUUCACAGUCCAAUGUAUGGAUUGUUUGUGGCACAAACAUUUUCCUCUACCAACCACCUUCAUUUGAAAAGUGCUUCUCCUUAAAGAAGAAAGGCUCACCUGCCAGGAAAGUGGUUGAUACAUGUGUGUCAUGGGAGGAAAAAAAAAA